rnacentral:rRNA from 1 species
UAAAACUUUGAGCGGUGGAUCACUCGGCUCGUGCGUCGAUGAAGAGCGCAGCCAGCUGCGUGAAUUAAUGUGAAUUGCAGAACACA